rnacentral:rRNA from 1 species
UACGGGGGAUGCAAGCGUUAUCCGGAUUUAUUGGGUUUAAAGGGUGCGUAGGCUGUGAGGUAAGUCAGCGGUGAAAUGCCCCCGCUCAACGGGGUGAAGUGCCAUUGAUACUGCCUUGCUGGAAUGCGGAUGCCGUGGGAGGAAUGUGUGGUGUAGCGGUGAAAUGCUUAGAUAUCAUGAAGAACUCCGAUCGCGAAGGCAAGUGUCCGGGGUGCAACUGACGCUGAGGCUCGAAAGUGCGGGUAUCAAACAGG